AAUAGAUACCCCGGUAGUCCACGCCGUAAACUAUGAUUACUCGAUGUCGGCGAUAUACUGUCGGUGUCCAAGCGAAAGUGAUAAGUAAUCCACCUGGGGAGUACGAUCGCAAGGUUGAAACUCAAAGGAAUUGACGGGGGCCCGCACAAGCGGUGGAGCAUGUGGUUUAAUUCGAUGAUACGCGAGGAACCUUACCUGGGCUUGAAUGCAUUAUGACCGUCCCGGAAACGGGACUUUCUUCGGACAGAAUGCAAGGUGCUGCAUGGUUGUCGUCAGCUCGUGCUGUGAGGUGUCGGGUUAAGUCCCAUAACGAGCGCAACCCCUAUUCUUAGUUGCCAGCGGGUAAUGCCGGGGACUCUAAGAAACUGCCCGCGUAAGCGGUGAGGAAGGUGGGGAUGACGUCAAAUCAUCACGGCCCUUACGUCCAGGGCUACACACGUGCUACAAUGGUCAGUACAAAGGGCAGCUACCUGGUGACAGGAUGCUAAUCUCGAAAACUGAUCUCAGUUCGGAUCGAAGUCUGCAACUCGUA
rnacentral:rRNA from 1 species